rnacentral:lncRNA from 1 species
AGAAAGUGAAAACCAAACCAAUUUUUUUUUCUUUCUCUUUUUCUAUUUGCUGGUUCGAUUUUUUCGCCGGAAAAAAAACUUUAACGAUCAAUUUCAUCACUUUUCCGGUGAAAUUGACAGAUCGCCGAAACUUUCCGUCCAGGUAAUGAUCGCUGAUUUUUGUUUUAUCUCGUUCAAUUCACUCAAUUCUGAAUAUAUUAAUCGCCAAAUUGAAAAUUUUCUGCUGCUUUGUAUCUAAGGUUGGGAUUUUUUUUGUUAUGCUUCAGAUCUACUAAUGUUGAAUAACUGAAGGUAUAAUUUGGAGUUAUGAAGAAUUUUGGUGAUAUUUAAAUGUGACUUUGUGUUGUAAUUGUGAGAUUUAGUUUAACAUGGAGGAUAGUGUGAGAUCAGGAGGGGGUGUAUUGAAGAAAAAAAGCUCUUCUGGUUGUUUAAUUAUUAAAAAGAAAGAUGACAAAAUGGUGAAGAAGAGGCCAAGGUUUGUUAUGAAUGAUCACGUGUCGAAUGAUGAGUUAUCGGAGUCAAUUCGGAGGAAAAAUGGUCAAUUUUUUAGUAAUGGUUAUGGAAAAAGUGGUGUUAGAGAAGGAGAAUUUGGUAGGAAUGUGAAUUUGCUUGAUCUUAAUGAGUACGAAGAAUGUGAUGUGAAAAGGCAAUUGAAUGGGUAUAGUUAUGAGAUAUCAGAGUCAAUUCGGAGAAAAACUGGUCAAAAUUUUCGUAAUGGUUCUGUUGUUUAUGGAAAAAGUUGUGUUAGAGAUGGAGAAUUUGGUAGGAAUGCGGCUUUGAUAGAUUUAAACGAGUACGAAGAACGUGAUGUGAAAAGGCAAUUGGAUGGGUGUGGUGAUGAGAUAUCAGAGUCAAUUCGGAGAAAAAAUGGUCAAAAAUUCCGUAAUGGUUCUGUUGUUUAUGGAAAAAGUUGUGUUAGAGAUGGAGAAUUUGUUAGGAAUGCGGAUUUGCUUGAUUUAAAUGAGUACGAAGAAUGUGAUGUGAAAAGGCAAUUGAAUGGGUACAGUGAUGUCAGAUCGAACAUGAUUGAAAGAAGAGGGAGUUGUAGAGAGUUCGGGAGUGGGUCUGGGAGUGUGAUGGCUGAGAAGAGGAAGCUUUCAUGUAUGGAUAGUUCAAGUAGUUUUUCAGGUAGUAGGAUGAAGGGCGAUGACAAUGGCUUUACGAGAAGGUAUGAUUUGUUAGAGGGUGAAGUGCGUAUGCCCAUUUCAUUGACCAGAGAAGCCACUCAUGAAGCAAUCAGAUUGCAAGGGAAAAAUGGGGUAUUAAAGGUUAUGUUGAAUAAGAAGAAGAAGAUUGACUUAAUGCACAAGGAUUUUGAUCCUGCGGAAAUAGAAAAUAGAAAAGGUUCUCAGUCGGCAGAUGUUGUCAAGAGGAAUUUACUAGUCCAUCCGUCCUUUUACUCAGGUUCUAAACACCCGGAAAAGCAACCUUUGUCUGUUAAAACAGAGAAAAAUGAGCUGAAACUGGAAAAACCUUUGUUGGGUAAAAUCAUCCGUUCAGUAGCCUCUGAAAAAGAUGAGACUGAUACGUCACUUAAGUUGGCACCGCCUAGUUCAGUGCCUGCUAGCUCAGCAAUGGGGGUGCUAAAGGAAGAAAGCAGGUCCUUAGCAUCUGAAGAUGUUAUUCCU